rnacentral:rRNA from 2 species
CAAAAGCGUAUAUUAAAGUUGUUGCGGUUAAAAAGCUCGUAGUUGGAUCUGCGCCCAUUGGUUGGCGGUCCCCUAAAGGGUGGUACUGCCGUACCAGGGCUUUCUUUCUGGUUUUCCCUUGGUGCUCUUCACCGAGUGCUCUGGGUGACUGGAACGUUUACUUUGAAAAAAUUAGAGUGCUCAAAGCAGGCAAUCUGCCUGAAUAGUGGUGCAUGGAAUAAUAGAAUAGGACUUCGGUUCUAUUUUGUUGGUUUUCGGAACUCGAAGUAAUGAUUAAGAGGGACAGACGGGGGCAUUCGUAUUGCGGCGUUAGAGGUGAAAUUCUUGGAUCGUCGCAAGACGUACUACAGCGAAAGCAUUUGCCAAGAAUGUUUUCAUUAAUCAAGAACGAAAGUUAGAGGUU